ensembl:lncRNA
CGCUGAGGGGUAAGGCCGAGGAGCGAAGCCGGGGGAGACAAACACUGAAACCUGCUCACUGCGAGAAAACAAAAUAAAACUUAUUGCCCUGGAGAACCGUGUGUCCUUAACGCGAACCCCGCAGGUGGUAGCUUGAGCCUGCUACAGAGAACUUUCCUACGUUGGACGGGCGGUGAGGUUCUUUCUCAGGCACAUCUGGAGGAAGUCAUUGCAGUCUGGAGAGAGAAGGAGAAGAAAGCCUCCUUCCGCUCCGAGGUAGCUCCAGAAAUUCUUAGCGGCCAUCGGCCUCUCCGUCACCAGCACCAGCUCCUUCUCCAACUGGUAACAGUCCAGCAGGGAUACGUAUGGCGACGUCCCCUCUGAUUCGGCCGACAGCUUCAACAUGAUGGCGACCUCUACGGGGGUCGUGUUCCCUUCGUUGUCCUGUAACGCCGCGCCAGAGCAGCGGCGACCUUCCUCUUGUCACCUCUCUUGCCAACAACCUCCACAGAGGUGUUGCAGCUUCCUACAAACGAGCAAAAAGACCCCGACGUGAACAGAACACCCCUCAAACCAAACCACAAAACCGUCUUCUGCUCGGCUGAAUCAUUUCUAGCAGAUCCUCAAAAAAAGAACGCUGGCUCAAUAAUUGAAAAAUUCCCCAACAACUCUGCAGAAUAAUAGUUAUAAAUUUCACGUGUGCCCCCUUGAUUAACAAUUUAACUAAUAAAUAAUAAUAACUUCACAUACGUGUCUUCUAUCGCCCAACAUCGUAGGUUAGUUGGUUUCUAUUUUAACACGCUCGGAUUACACUGACGGGAUGAGUUUUGUUAUGUUACUGUGGUCUCAGGUUUUAACAAAUAAGUCAAAUAAAUUAGGAAACAAUGG